GACGAACGCUGGCGGCGUGCCUAAUACAUGCCAGUCGAACGCUGAAGAGAGGAGCUUGCUCUUCUUGGAUGAGUUGCGAACGGGUGAGUAACGCGUAGGUAACCUGCCUUGUAGCGGGGGAUAACUAUUGGAAACGAUAGCUAAUACCGCAUAACAAUGGAUGACACAUGUCAUUUAUUUGAAAGGGGCAAUUGCUCCACUACAAGAUGGACCUGCGUUGUAUUAGCUAGUAGGUGAGGUAAUGGCUCACCUAGGCGACGAUACAUAGCCGACCUGAGAGGGUGGUCGGCCACACUGGGACUGAGACACGGCCCAGACUCCUACGGGAGGCAGCAGUAGGGAAUCUUCGGCAAUGGGGGCAACCCUGACCGAGCAACGCCGCGUGAGUGAAGAAGGUUUUCGGAUCGUAAAGCUCUGUUGUAAGUCAAGAACGGGGGUGAGAGUGGAAAGUUCACACUGUGACGGUAGCUUACCAGAAAGGGACGGCUAACUACGUG
rnacentral:rRNA from 1 species